AUGAACGCUAGCGACAGGCCUAACACAUGCAAGUCGAGGGGCAGCACAAGGAGCAAUCUGAGGUGGCGACCGGCGCACGGGUGAGUAACACGUAUGCAACCUGCCUGUAAGCGGGGAAUAACCCGUUGAAAGACGGACUAAUACCGCAUAAUACUAAAUUACUGCAUGGUAAUUUAUUUAAACAUUUAUGGCUUACAGAUGGGCAUGCGCAUGAUUAGCUAGUUGGAGAGGUAACGGCUCCCCAAGGCAACGAUCAUUAGGGGUUCUGAGAGGAAGGUCCCCCACACUGGUACUGAGACACGGACCAGACUCCUACGGGAGGCAGCAGUGAGGAAUAUUGGUCAAUGGACGAGAGUCUGAACCAGCCAAGUCGCGUGCAGGAAGAAUGUCCUAUGGAUUGUAAACUGCUUUUGCAGGGGAAUAAAGUGCAUCACGUGUGAUGUUUUGUAUGUACUCUGCGAAUAAGGAUCGGCUAACUCCGUGCCAGCCGCCGC
rnacentral:rRNA from 1 species